rnacentral:rRNA from 1 species
UACGGAGGGUGCGAGCGUUGUCCGGAAUCACUGGGCGUAAAGGGCGCGUAGGCGGCCUGAUAAGUAGGGGGUGAAAUCCUGAGGCCUAACCUCAGGGCUGCCUUCUAAACUGUCAGGCUCGAGCACAGUAGAGGCAGGUGGAAUUCCCGGUGUAGCGGUGGAAUGCGUAGAGAUCGGGAAGAACACCAGUGGCGAAGGCGAGUCCCCGGAAAAUACCUGACACUGAGGCACGAAAGCUAGGGGAGCAAACAGG